GACAAACGCUGGCGGCAUGCCUAACACAUGCAAGUCGAACGGACAGAACAGGGAAGCUUUUCGGAGUGGAACUGGAAAGUUAGUGGCGGAUGGGUGAGUAAUGCGUGGACAACCUACCUUGUAAAGGGGAAUAACCUCGAGAAAUCGAAGCUAAUACCCCAUAAUAACCUUGCUUCGCAUGAAGUAAGGAGGAAAGGCGGCCUUAGCGCUGUCGAUACAAGAUGGGUCCGCGUCUGAUUAGCCAGGUGGUGAGGUAAAGGCUCACCAAGGCGACGAUCAGUAGCCGGCCUGAGAGGGUGAACGGCCACAUUGGGACUGAGACACGUCCCAAACUCCUACGGGAGGCAGCAGUGGGGAAUCUUCCGCAAUGGGCGAAAGCCUGACGGAGCAAUGCCGCGUGAGUGAAGAAGGCCUUCGGGUUGUAAAACUCUGUCCUUAUCGAAGAGAGAGUGUUGUAGUAACUGACAAUACUAGGACGGUAGAUGAGGAGGAAGCCCCGGCUAACUAUGUG
rnacentral:rRNA from 1 species